GAGAGCUAUGUCUGUGGCUCCAUUGAGCCCUUUAAGAAGCUGGAGUACACCAAGAACGUGAACCCCAAUUGGUCAGUGAACGUCAAGACCACCUCAGCCUCCCGGGCAGUGUCUUCUCUGGCGACUGCCAAGGGGGGACCUUCGGAGGUUCGGGAGAAUAAGGAUUUCAUUCGACCCAAGCUGGUCACCAUCAUCAGAAGUGGGGUGAAGCCACGAAAGGCUGUCAGAAUCCUGUUGAACAAGAAGACGGCUCAUUCCUUCGAGCAGGUUCUCACUGACAUUACCGAUGCUAUCAAGCUGGACUCGGGUGUGGUGAAGCGUCUGUACACCCUGGAUGGGAAGCAGGU
rnacentral:lncRNA from 1 species